rnacentral:lncRNA from 1 species
UGCCAUCACAACCAAACCCACACCCACCAUAUUCUCUACUACCAAAUGGAUCCCAAGUGGAGAAUUAAAUUUGAACCCAAAUUCAUCUCGUUGUUGCCUCCAUUGUUGCUACUUACUCAAAAUCAAACCAAAAAUUUUUGUUCCUUCCUCGCCUAGUUGUUGCUCUCCAUUGUACCAUUGGUCGAAAAUCACCCCAUCUUACACUUACAAAAUUUAGAAGCUCGAUGGCAACCUUCGGGUGAUACCUCUAGUCGACUACGACGGCUUCAAAAUCCAGCGUGCCAACCAAAGCCUUCUCUUGCUCAAGGACAUUGAUCCCACUCUUAAGAUCUCCCUAGCUCCCCCCUCACCCUUAACCAAGACGACAAUUUCUUUGUUUUCAACUAAUUUGGGGUUUUCAUUUGUGUUGUUAAUGUGGUAAAUGGGUUGAGGGAGUAGGUAUGGUAAAUGGAACCACCACUCUAGAUCCGAUGCAAGAUCAAGGGGAGCAGUAAAGAAGUUGUUAGGAAGCAAUCAAAAAUUGCUUCCUCCAUUGGACGAUACUGAAGUAUUUUGGGAGUGAAGUAGGGUAAACCCAAUCAACUUUUGCAGACUUCUAGGAAUUGUGGUUGUGGUGGUAGCUGGAUGGUUUUCCAGGGUGCGGUGGAAAAGAAGGUGGGUUUAUAUAUAUUUUUAAUUUAAUUUUUUAAAAUUAUUUAAUGUGAGGAAAAAUGCAUAGUACGAUUUUACCUUUUUUAAUUGGUCAAAAUUGAUCAAAUUUCGACUUUUUUUUAUCAACUAACUGUAAGAUGGAUGAUUUCCAUCCAUUUGGACCCUAAGUGUGGA